rnacentral:misc_RNA from 1 species
UCUCCGUAGGUGAACCUGCGGAGGGAUCAUUACAGAGUUCAUGCCCUACCGGGUAGAUCUCCCACCCUAUGUUAUUAUUACUUUGUUGCUUUGGCGGGCCGUUAGGCUCCGGCCCGACUACCGGCUCCGGCUGGUAAGCGCCCGCCAGAGGACCCAAAACCCUGAAUAUUAGUGUCGUCUGAGUACUAUAUAAUAGUUAAAACUUUCAACAACGGAUCUCUUGGUUCUG